GGAUCGGUAGCUCAGUGGUAGAGCAGUGGAUUGCAGAUCCAAAGGUCGCGUGUUCGAUCCACGCUCGGUCCU